GGAUUAUAAUAUAAUAAAACGAGAGAGUAAAUAUUUGUCAUGGACCAUAUUUCUAAAAAUAAGCUUGAAAAGUUGUCUUUAGCAGGUGGAAUUGACGUCACAUGCGAGCGCCCCGAAGGCUCUGUAGUCCGUAGUAGUAUGUUAGCUUUUUUUGUGUUUGUGUUUGCAUUUCCAAAAGUGCUAAAAGUUGUAUUUUCGUGUUAGGAUUAUCCGGCUGGGCAAAACGUGUGAGUGUAAUGAACUGUGUUUGAACACCGAGCUUAUUAUUUGCAAUCUUCAAAAAGCGUAUGGCGAUCGAGGGAACCAGUUUUAUGCUAGCAGCCGAUUAGCCUACAAGGUGACGUCGUCAAUUUGGAGGGCGGGUGUAGUGACGUCAGCGCGCAUGGGCGGGACAGGCUGUGGAUUCUGGUAUAAAUACGCACGUCAGCUAUUUCCCCAGUUUGCCAGAUCGCUAGUUUCUUAAACUUUUCGUCAGUAAUGUCAAACAAACAAACGAUCCAAACACUCGAUGGGAUUCACGCCAUUUACCGCCAAAAAGCCUUUUGGCCUGAAUUCACAUGAAUUCACAUCCACAAAAUCACACCAGGAUGAAACCCAUCUGUAAAGCAGCUUUAAAAAGAUUGUACGCAAGCAAAAGAUGGCCAGAUUAAGAUUUGUGAACUUCACCACUGGGUCCCUCCUUUAAAAUGUUACUCUGCUGAAGUACAUGUGAAUAAAGAAAUAAUUUCAAGACGACAAAUAACAGUGUCAAGGAAUGAGUGCUGCUCACGUGGGAGAAAAGAGUCCAAAAUGAGAAUCUAUUCAUUUGGAUAUCCCACAGAUCAGAGGCGCCUGCAGCCUUAAGGUUGGCACACAGCGGAUGAACCGCUCAGCACCGCUACACGGCGUGCACAUGACAGUUGAUAGUAUCAAACACCAGACGCGCACAUUCGCAUGGUAUUUAAGAGGAAACUAAUCAGAUGGCACUCUGUGGUGCGGCAGAAAUAUGAACUGUGUCCUGAGUCGUGGCUGGGCGCAGUUGACUUGGUGCGCCGAUGUGUGUACCCUGAUAGAAACCUAUAUUUAGAAUUGUAAAAAGCAUGGCGCUGUGUGGCACAACGGUGUUUUUCAGUGGCCUUCAGCAUUGUUGGGUCUGGCAUACUGCUUCUUCGUUUUCGCAUAGUUUGAAACA